rnacentral:rRNA from 1 species
UACGUAGGGGGCGAGCGUUAUCCGGAUUUAUUGGGCGUAAAGGGCGCGUAGGCGGCCACUGCAAGUCGGUUGUGAAAUCUCCGGGCUUAACCCGGAAAGGUCAAUCGAUACUGCAGGGCUAGAGUGCAGAAGGGGCAACUGGAAUUCUCGGUGUAGCGGUGAAAUGCGUAGAUAUCGAGAGGAACACCUGCGGCGAAGGCGGGUUGCUGGGCUGACACUGACGCUGAAGCGCGAAAGCUAGGGGAGCGAACGGG